rnacentral:lncRNA from 1 species
GUGAGAGGCAGUAAUAAAGCAGCUGACAAUACAUGGAAAACAUAUUGAACAGUCAACACCUUCUAUUCACCCAUAGAAUGAUUCCUGGGCGGGAUUAGCAGAGAAGAGACAAGAAGGAGUGCAUAUAUCAUUCACUGGGGGACAGUAACGUGCCUUAUGGAGAUACAGUGAAUUGCCUGUUUCAUGGCACUAAUCUGAAAGCAUCCUUGAAUUCAAUUCAACAGCGUGACUGCCAGACAGCUCUUGAAACCAAGUAAGAAUAAAGAAAGAAUGGGAUUCUUAUCUGGGAAGUACUAUAAUGUAAAACUAUGAGCACGACGUGCUGACUGACUGGCCGACUGACUGCAUUAUUCACCAUAGCCAAGAUGUGGAAGCAACCCAAAUGGCCGUCAAUUGAUGAUUGGAUAUAGAAGAUGUGUGGGUUUAGUGAAUGAAGUGCUGUGGAGCCAGUUACUGGACACUCUACACAUGGAAGGACUUCUUGGACAGUUGCUUUCCCAACAUAUCUUACUUGUUCCAUAGUACAAUGUUCCUAUAUGAGAAGAUUUUCUAUUUGUCGUCUACAGUAUGCUAUCUUAACAUUAAUUUUUCCCUUAAGAAGCUUAAAUUUAAUGAAUUUAGAGUCCAGAAAAUUCUAGCUUCAAAAAAAAUCUAUUUUUCCAACAAUGCUAAUUUAAAUUUUCUCCUUGAGAAUCAUUAUUAUGCCCAAACUAAACUCACUUUAUGUUUACAUUAUUUUUUAGAUACUUCUGUGUGGUUCUUUCUCUAAAGGAAUAAAAAGUAGUCUUUUUUUCCUUUUCGCAGAACUCAACAAGGCUUAACUGAUUUUAUUCAUUUGCCUUGAAAAAUAAGAACUCAUCUUUUGGCUUAAACUAAGCAUGGAAAAUUUUAGCCCCAAAGGAAUAUUUUGAAAGACAGUUGUAUAAACAAAAGAAAAAAAAAACUUGUAUCAAAAGGCUUUUCACAUUUAACUACAACAAUGCCAGCUAGUUUAGGGCCACAGAAUAACUACAGAGAACAUUAGCUUGUUCUUCGUGGC